CAGCCGCCGCGGGAAUACCAGCAGCCCAAGUGGUGGUCGCGAUUAUUGGGCCUAAAGCGCUCGUGGCCGGGCCGGUAAGUCCCUUGUGAAAUCGGACGGCCUAACCGUUCGGCGUGCAAGGGAUACUGUCGGUCUUGAGGCCGGGAGACGUCCGAGGUACUCCGGGGGUAGCGGUGAAAUGUUCUGAUCCUCGGGGGACCACCGGUGGCGAAGGCGUUCGACGAGAACGGGCCUGACGGUGAGGGGCGAAGGCUAGGGGAGCAAACGGGAUUAGAUACCCGCGUAGUCCCUGUCUCUUAUA
rnacentral:rRNA from 1 species